UCCUGACCUCAAGUGAUCUGCCUGCCUUGGCCUCCCAAAGUGCUGGGAUUACAGGAGUAAGCCACUGCACCCAGCCACCAAUAUCCAGACAAGGAUAUUGGUCUUGUAUACCAGUGAAACUACUGAUGCCAGCUGGUCUAGAGGAAUCCAAGAGAAGCUGAUUCACCAAAGAAGGCUGUUUCCAGAUCAUGAUGAUUUCAUCCAUCCUACCUUGACCAAUCAAUGAUCCCAAUUUUCCAGUUACUUGCCCUCUACAAUCCCCUUAAAAGUCCCAGCCCAGAACUUCUCAGGGAGAUGGAUUUGAGGGUCCCUCCCAACUCCUUGCUUGGUUACCCUGUGAUCAUUAAACUCUUUCUCUGCUGCAAACCCUGUUGUCUUGGUGUAUUGGUUUGUUCCAGUGCAAUGGGCAUAUGAACUCGUUGGUCCUGUAACAAACUCUGCUGUUGUAGCAUGAAAGCUGCCAUAGAUAAUACAUAAAUGAACAUGUGUAGCUGUAUUC
rnacentral:lncRNA from 10 species